UCACCUACAGUGGCUGCUUGGUGAUUCUGCGCUUGCUGCUGACCAGUGCAAUCAACAGGUCUGCGCCCACCUAGGACCUGUCCAUCUUCCUCCGGCUUGGUUUCACCUCUUCUGCACUGUAUCUGUGUUAUUGACUGAGACUGCUUGGGAACUGCUGCUGUUCAAACCAAAGCUGAUGUGCUUGCUGUGUCUGCAAGUCUCCGGGAACUUGACUGGAGUGGCGAGGAUGUGAAGAAAGGACAAACAAAGUGGCAACAACCUAGAUGCCCAUCAACUGAUGAAUGGAAAAUGAAAAAGUGGUCCAUUUACAGAAUGAAAUAUUAUUCAACUAUUAAGAAAAAUGAAGUUGUGAAAUUUUCAAGUCAACGGAUAAAGCUAGAAAUAAUCAUCCUGAGUGAGGUCAAGAGGAAAAAACUUACAGAUCACCGUCCCAGACAACAGCCCUCUGCGCACCCAGGAAGAGAGUCUCGCUGGCGGAGCAGGAAGUGAAGAGAGCGAGCGGAGGAAGUAGCCGCUUUUUUAAAGGGAGAGAGAGACCACGCCCCAAUGGGCUGGUAUCUCAGCAGCUAUUGGUUGGAGGGGCGGAAGGACCUCCCGCAACAACCACCAUAGUGUCUUCGUCCAGCCACAGAUGGAGAUAGAGACAAAGACCCUCAUCAGAGCCCCCAAGGUCCAGUUGAAGAGCAGAAGGAGGGAGAAGAGGAGCAAGGAAGUCAGGACCAUGAGGGGUUGGUUCACCCACUGAGACAGUGUGCCUGAUCUAAUGGGAGCUCAUCAAAUCCAGAAUCUCAGGUCUUCCUUUUGCUUACACAUCUCACACCUGCACUGGAGAGAUGAUUCCAAGGAUAAAGGAUAAAGGCACUUGCCCUAAGCUGAGGACCUGAGUUGGAUUCCUGGAACCCUCAAGGUAGAAAGAGAUAACAAACUUAUCAUCCAGGAGGCAGAGGCAGGUGGAUCUCCGUGAGUUCGAAACCAGCCUGGUCUACAACAGCUAGUUCCAGGACAGGCUCCAAAGCUACAGAGAAACCUUCUCUUGAAAAACCAGAAGUUUAUAAGGAUAAGAAUCCAUGUGUGAUUCAUUUGGGAGCUGGAUGGUGGGUCCACCAAAAGAGUCUGAAGGGCAUAACAUCAUACUACUAUGGACUUUGAUCCUCAUUUCUCAAGUGUUACUCACCAAUGAGAUUAUACUGUGGAGAAAAAGAAAAGUGCACAACGGAAGACCAUUAUCAUUUUAAACAUUCAUUUUGUUUAUGUGAACAUGUCCCUGGAGGCCUGAAGAGGGAGUCAGAUUCCCUGGAGCUGGAGCUACAGGUGGCUCACAGAGGGUUCCCUGAGCCUUGAGAGGAGUGAUUUGAUGGUGAGGUCCUAUUUAAGACUUGAGUGUUCCCUGGGCUGAGAGAUCCUGGAGUUCACUUGAAGAGAGGGAGGAUGGAUCACAUGAACAAAGCAGGGUGGUCAAGAGCAUGAUGGCGAAAACCACAGAGACUGCCUACAUCCGACCCAAGCUAGUGGGAGCUCAUGGACUAUGGACUGACAGCUGGGGAACCUGCAUGAGACCAAACCAGACCCUUUUAAUAUGGGUGACAAUUGUGUGGCCUGGUCUGUUGAGGGAGCCCUGGCAGUCUCUCCAAGAGUUAUCCCAGGUGCAUGAACUGGCUUUUUGAAGCCCAUUCCCUAUGAAGGACAUCUUGCCCAGCUUUGAUAUUGGGGGCGGGGCGGGUAGGCUUGGUCCUGCCUCAAGUUGGUAUCCCAGACCUUGUUAACUUCCCAAGGAAGGCCUUACCCCCUCUGAGGAACAGAUGGGGAUGGGAAGGAGGAGGCG